rnacentral:rRNA from 1 species
GACGUAGGGCGCGAGCGUUGUCCGGAUUUAUUGGGCGUAAAGAGCUCGUAGGCGGCUUGUUGCGUCGGCUGUGAAAACCCGUGGCUUAACUGCGGGCUUGCAGCUGAUACGGGCGGGCUAGAGUUCGGUAGGGGAGACUGGAAUUCCUGGUGUAGCGGUGAAAUGCGCAGAUAUCAGGAGGAACACCGGUGGCGAAGGCGGGUCUCUGGGCCGAUACUGACGCUGAGGAGCGAAAGCGUGGGGAGCAAACGGG